rfam:Picea glauca, whole genome shotgun sequence.
ACAUGCCUACAACAUAUCAUUAAUGCAACGGAUCCCAUUAGAACUUCGCAAUUAGGCACACUCAGGCUAGAGUAGUACUGGGAUGGGUGACCGUUCAAGAAGUCAUAGUGUUUUACAUGCC